rnacentral:rRNA from 1 species
CGAACGCUGGCGGCGUGCUUAACACAUGCAAGUCGAACGGUGAAGCGCCUUCCUUUUUGGUGAGUGUGGAUGAGUGGCGAACGGGUGAGUAACACGUGAGUAACCUGCCCCCUUCUUCUGGAUAACCGCAUGAAAGUGUGGCUAAUACGGGAUAUUCUGGGUCUGUCGCAUGAUGGGUCUGGGAAAGAUAUUGUUUCGGUGGGGGAUGGGCUCGCGGCCUAUCAGCUUGUUGGUGGGGUGAUGGCCUACCAAGGCGGUGACGGGUAGCCGGCCUGAGAGGGUGGACGGUCACACUGGGACUGAGACACGGCCCAGACUCCUACGGGAGGCAGCAGUGGGGAAUAAUGCACAAUGGGCGCAAGCCUGAUGCAGCGACGCCGCGUGAGGGAUGGAGGCCUUCGGGUUGUGAACCUCUUUCGCCAGUGAAGCAGGCCUGCCUCGUUUGUGGGUGGGUUGACGGUAGCUGGAUAAGAAGCGCCGGCUAACUACGUG